GACGAACGCUGGCGGCGUGCCUAACACAUGCAAGUCGAACGGAGAAUUAGCAAUAAUUCUUAGUGGCGAACGGGUGAGUAACGCGUAGACAACCUACCCUUUAGAUGGGGACAACAGAUCGAAAGAUCUGCUAAUACCGAAUGUUGUUUGAGAAGCGCAUGCUUCUCAAACUAAAGAUGGCCUCUAUAUAUAAGCUAUCGCUAAAGAAUGGGUCUGCGUCUGAUUAGCUAGUUGGUGAGAUAAAAGCUCACCAAGGCAACGAUCAGUAGCCGGUCUGAGAGGAUGAACGGCCACACUGGGACUGAGACACGGCCCAGACUCCUACGGGAGGCAGCAGUGGGGAAUCUUCCGCAAUGGACGAAAGUCUGACGGAGCAACGCCGCGUGAGUGAUGAAGGUUUUCGGAUCGUAAAAUUCUGUUGUUAAGGACGAAUGUAUAGAUUGUGAAUAAUGGUUUAUAAUGACGGUACUUAACGAGGAAGCCACGGCUAACUACGUGCCAGCAGCCGCAGUAAAAC
rnacentral:rRNA from 1 species